rnacentral:rRNA from 2 species
GUUGUAGUCUGGAGAAGUGCUUUCCGCGCUGGACCGUGUAUAAGUCUCUUGGAAUAGAGCGUCAUAGAGGGUGAGAAUCCCGUCUUUGACACGGACUACCAGUGCUUUGUGAUGCGCUCUCAAAGAGUCGAGUUGUUUGGGAAUGCAGCUCAAAAUGGGUGGUAAAUUCCAUCUAAAGCUAAAUAUUGGCGAGAGACCGAUAGCGAACAAGUACCGUGAGGGAAAGAUGAAAAGCACUUUGGAAAGAGAGUUAAACAGUACGUGAAAUUGCUGAAAGGGAAACGCUUGAAGUCAGUCGUGUUAUUUGGAACUCAGCCUUGCUUUUUGCUUGGUGCACUUUCUGAAUGACAGGCCAGCAUCAAUUUUGACUGUUGGAAAAGGGCUUGAGGAAUGUGGCACCCUUUUGGGUGUGUUAUAGCCUCUGGUCAUAUACAGCGGUUGGGAUUGAGGAACGCAGCGCGCCGUAAGGCAGGGGUUUACCCACUUUCGCGCUUAGGAUGCUGGCAUAAUGGCUUUAAACGACCCGUCUUGAAACACGGACCAAGGAGUCUAACAUACCUGCGAGUGUUUGGGUGGAAAACCCGAGCGCGUAAUGAAAGUGAAAGUUGAGACCUCUGUCGUGGAGGGCAUCGACGCCCGGACCUGACGUUUUCUGAAGGAUCCGCGGUGGAGCAUGUAUGUUGGGACCCGAAAGAUGGUGAACUAUGCCUGAAUAGGGUGAAGCCAGAGGAAACUCUGGUG